CCACCACACAUCGCAUCUCCUCGUCCCCGUCCUCCGCCUCCACGCCUCCCAUCUUCUCCACCCCGUCCUUCACCUCCACCUCCCCGCCUCCAACCGAUGAGGGCAGCCAAGAUCCAUGGCGACGGCGGCUGAAGCGGCCCGAUGGAAGCGGAAGACAACCAUAGCCGAUGCGGCGAGCAGCUGCUGCUCGCAAGCAGCGAAGAGGGCCAUGGAUCUACUGCAGGGGCCUUCUACUCCGUCUCCCAGGCCACGCAGCUGCCUCGCCGUCUGGAGAUUCGGAUCAGCCAGCGCGGGACGAGGAGAGGACGACGACCGUGACCUGUAGGAGGCACAAGCUCGACCUUGCUGGGGACGACGAUGCCCGCACAUCAGCAGGAGCUCUCCGUCUCUCCUGUUCCAUGGACGGUGACGACCGGCACCCCACGCUCGAGCUCGACAGUGAGAUCGUCCGCCCCGACCACCAUGAUUCCCCACAGAACAAGGUCGACCCUCUCGCUAUGUUUUUCUUUCCUUUCCAAGUGAUUACUGCUCUGCUCUGGCAUAGUUCUCCAAGGGCUCUCACAUUUUCUUGUACUGAACUAUGAUGCACAAAACGUGGCUAGUUACAUCAUGGUUUGUUCACAUUUUCUGACAUGCAAGUUACAUCCAACUAGCAUUGCGAGCAGCAGCAAUGUAGAAUUUCUGAGAUCUGCUAGUUAGUUAAAGCUCCUUGUUUAAUAAGUAAACGCCCAUGAGAUGCUCCUGUUGGUUCCUUGCUACUCUGUGCAAGCAGCAAGGAUGUUAUUGCCAGUGGGGCUGGUGACGAUGAUAUCUGCCUUUUUGCCGAGGAGAAGAGUACCAUGGUAUCUUGUCCUUCCACUGAACAUUCAAAUUCUGGCAACUCUUGAUUUAUCUCCAUGGGAUCUACUUAGCUGACCACUUUGUCCAAGUAAUAUUUGUAGCAGAUAGUGGGGUGCGAUGUUCCAACAUGGUUUGUUCAUUUUUUUUCUAACUGCAGUGACCACUCUUUGAGAAUUUUGGAAACAUAAAGUAGACCCCUCAUUGUACAAUAACAAUGUAUUUCACAAUAUUCUUAUAUUUAGGUUGUUAAUACACUCUCACAUUUUUCCCUUGACAUGGAUAUGUUCAGAAGAGUAAAAUGACCACAGCAAUGUAAAGUGGAUUAAAAUGGGCAUAAUACUCACGAUUCAUAUACUUUACAUGACUAGUCCAAUCUCUGCCAGCAAGUGUUGUGUUAUGCAAAUUUCUAGUAAAUGAUGCAAUAAACAAUUUCCUCAUGUUUUAUUGCUAAGCUUUUCGGUAAACUGUCAACAUUGCCUUAGAAUAUUAUUUGGUAAUCUUCUGUCUUUGAAGUAACUAGAAUCAGGGCAAUGAAAGUGCUAGUGCUUUGAAGUUAUGUUCUUCUACAGGUCUGCACAUAUAUUUCUGCAAGUCAUUUCAUUGUUUAAAAAUUUGAGGAAUUCUAAAUUUAUUACUUGAUGGCUUAUACCUGCACUUCGUGUUAUAUUUCUACAAGCACGUUACUUCUAGAUGCUUGGAGGCAUGAAGUCAUGCUUGAAAUUCCAUAGUGCCUGAACCAUCAAUGGCAACAUAAUUAUCAAAUAAAGUUCACAGAUAAACUUGCAAAACACAUCAAAUCUUUGAUGUUUUUGAGCUAGUCCCGUCGCCAGUUUUUUCACUCAAAAUAUGGGGCACACAAAUUGUUUCGAGUAGUAGUAUUCAACACUCAAUACGAUACAAUCAAUGGAGGUAACUACAAAAUACACAACAAACCUUGUGUACAGACCUUUUCACUACAAAAUAAUUCAAAACUAAUUAUAUUCUGCAAGCAAAACAACAUCUUUUUAGGAACAUCGUGUUGUUUAGCUUUUGAAAUGCUGGAAUUCUGAUAUUCUGAGAUUUUUCAAGCAAAACUUCUAGGACUGUAAAAUGACAACUGACAACAUGGCAAUCAACACAAUGGUUCAGAUGCCCUAUGGAAGAGACACUCACACCAUAAAAUUGCAAUACUGGUGAGCUGUGAAAAUUAAUUCGCUCGGCUUGGUCAAGAGCCCUAUGGUCACGCAAGCCACACGAUGAUGUCCCUUCUUGAACCGACAUUCCAAGAAACUGAGACUGGGGAACAAUCAGCACCCACAGAAACUGCAAGCACCACCCUCUGUUAUUAAGUUGGUAAAGCUCUACUCGCCUCAAACACAAACUUCUCCAUUCAAACCACGGAAUGCACAUGGCUAAUGUGGAAAAUCAACAAAACCCCAAUCUGCUACUAUUAAUUGUUGCCGAGGUGUAGAAACAUAGUUACAAUGAGAUUGUUGAUGAUUACGGUGGAGAACAACUUCGUCAUGACCUUGUGGGAGGGGCAGUGACAAUGUAGACGAAGCUGCGGCCGCUAGUGUGCAUGAACUCGGAGCCGGUGACGCGGCCGAUGGAGCCGAACACGACCUCCAGAUCGACCGUGGACAUGCUCUCCGCCAGCCCGACGACGUCCAACGACAUGGACUAUCUGCAAAAGAAUUGAAAUGCAACAAUCAUAUGCAAAUAUAUUAGAUAAAAGACGACUGAGUUCCAAAUUAACAUUUGCACCACAUCAUAUGAAGCAUUGUGGUAUGAUCUAGCACCAAAUUUUGGAUUUCGAAAAAAGUUCGUGAAGAUGAACCUCAAGGACCAAAAGAUCGGCAUGGGCCCUCCAUUGAUAUGUGCACUCUGUCAGGCGGUGUGUGCAGAGAAUGUGAACCUUAGAGCUGCUGAGGCGGGAGGCGCCGCAGUCCAUCCGCGUCCACAAUAUCGGCCUUACUUCUACUCCAGCGCGAGCUCCAGUACGCAGGUGUGAGCAUGCCAAAGUAGGCUGAAAUUCCGAAUCCGAGAGGGCGAGGCCAUGGUCGCACUCUAGCGAUCCCUCACCACUCUUCCUGCCCCCUCUCUUCUUCUCGUUGCCUCUUCCUCCUCGUUUCCUUCUCCCAAUCCUCCUGCACUCUAUUGUAGGUGUAGUACUCUCUACUCUAUUUCUCGCCUCCUCCCCGUCGUUCUCUACCCUGUUCCCAAUCCUCCCGUACUCUGUUGUAGGUGCAGUACUCUCUACUCUGUUUCUCACCUCCUCCUACCCGUCGUGCUCUACCCUGUCGCUAGUACAGUGUUUUGUUUCUCUUCUCAGCAAAUCUUCUCUGCUCUUUAAUGAACAUACAUGAACCAACUGGUUAAACGUGGUCAAUCAUGUAUUGUCUUAAAAAAUAAUUGUAGGAUCAGAAAAUAACACACAUGGCUUUGCAGAUUUGCGCUCGGCAAGGUUCCAAAGCAGUAUACAAUAGUCAAGAUUGCAAUGAUUUAUCUCUCCAGCACAUGAACCCUCGAAUAUAAACUACAUAUUGUUCAAAUGAAGUGCAUGGUGGAAGAUUCGUUAUGGGGCUGUGUCAGUAUGGCUCCAGUGCCCAGAAAUCGUAUGCACUAAGCUUCAGAAACCAAAGUAGCACGUUUGCUACAGAGUUGUGUCAUACGUAUCAAGACUUGGUUCACAUCUCAUUCAUUAUGGAGUUGUGUCAGUAACUCAAUAUGACUUCAGUACCCAGCUUAUCUUGGUAUUUGUUAUUAAUAAGGACAUGGUAUUGUUGCUCUUAAGUUAAUCAAUUCAUUCUUUUUUCA